rnacentral:rRNA from 1 species
UACAGAGGUGGCAAGCGUUGUUCGGAAUUACUGGGCGUAAAGGGCGCGUAGGCGGUCCUGUAAGUCCCGCGUGAAAUCCCCCGGCUCAACUGGGGAACUGCGCGGGAAACUGUGGGGCUUGAGUUCGGGAGAGGGAAGCGGAAUUCCGGGUGUAGCGGUGAAAUGCGUAGAUAUCUGGAGGAACACCGGUGGCGAAGGCGGCAUCCUGGACCGACACUGACGCUGAGGAGCGAAAGCCAGGGGAGCAAACGGG